AUUGAACGCUGGCGGCAGGCCUAACACAUGCAAGUCGAGCGGAGCGGCGGACGGGUGAGUAAUGCCUAGGAAUCUGCCUGGUAGUGGGGGAUAACGUCCGGAAACGGGCGCUAAUACCGCAUACUAUCAGAUGAGCCUAGGUCGGAGUAGCUAGGUGGUGGGGGAAAGGCCUACAAAGGCGACGCUCCGUACCUGGUCUGCGCGGAUGAUCAGUCACACUGGAACUGAUACACGGUCCAGAUGCCUACGGGAGGCAGCAGUGGGGAAUAUUGGACAAUGGGCGCAAGCCUGAUCCAGCCAUGCCGCGUGUGUGAAGAAGGUCUUCGGAUUGUAAAGCACUUUAAGUUGGGAGGCGUUACCAAAAGAAUAAGCACCGGCUAACUUCGUGCCAGCAGCCGCGGUAAUAG
rnacentral:rRNA from 1 species